ACCUUUGCCCUCUGGACUCGCGGAUCAUCUGUGGACUUCCAGAAAAUAAUGUUUUUAGUCAGGAUCAAUCCUGACUCAUCCAAGUGCACUGCCAAGGAGCAGAUCAGCAAGAUGACUGGGAGGGUGGUGAAGAGGAAAACUACAUACAUGAACCCCAGUGUCCUCUCAUUUAUUAGGGAUUUCACAGAGUUCUACUUGCUUGACUAGAUGAAGGGUUCCAACUGAUUCUGGUCAGGGCAUGCAAGGUU